rnacentral:miRNA from 1 species
GAUCCCAUGAUCCCUGGGAGGUCUGAUCCUGUGCUUCCUGGGAGGUGUGACAUCAUGGUUCCUGGGAGGUAUGACAUCGUGGUUCCUGGGAGGUGUGAUCCUGUGCUUCCUGGAAGGUGUGAUCCCGUGCUUCCUGGGAGGUGUGAUC